rnacentral:rRNA from 1 species
AUUGAACGCUAGCGGCAGGCUUAACACAUGCAAGUCGAGGGGUAUGCCGAUUUAUCGGCAGAGACCGGCGCACGGGUGCGUAACGCGUAUGCAAUCUACCUUUCACAGAGGGAUAGCCCAGAGAAAUUUGGAUUAAUACCUCAUAGUAUAGCAAUUUCGCAUGAAACCACUAUUAAAGUUCCAACGGUGAAAGAUGAGCAUGCGUCCCAUUAGCUAGAUGGUAAGGUAACGGCUUACCAUGGCUACGAUGGGUAGGGUCCUGAGAGGAGAUCCCCACACUGGUACUGAGACACGGACC